rnacentral:rRNA from 1 species
CCUACGGGGUGCAGCAGUGAGGAAUAUUGGUCAAUGGACGAGAGUCUGAACCAGCCAAGUAGCGUGAAGGAUGACUGCCCUAAGGGUUGUAAACUUCUUUUAUCUGGGAAUAAAAUGUUCCACGUGUGGCAUUUUGUAUGUACCCUAUGAAUAAGGAUCGGCUAACUCCGUGCCAGCAGCCGCGGUAAUACGGAGGAUCCGAGCGUUAUCCGGAUUUAUUGGGUUUAAAGGGAGCGUAGGUGGAUUGUUAAGUCAGUUGUGAAAGCUUGCGGCUCAACCGGAGAAUUGCAGUUGAAACUGGCAGUCUUGAGUACAGUAGAGGUGGGCGGAAUGCGUGGUGUAGCGGUGAAAUGCUUAGAUAUCACGCAGAACUCCGAUUGCGAAGGCAGCUCACUGGACUGCAACUGACACUGAGGCUCGAAAGUGUGGGUAUCAAACAGGAUUAGAUACCCGAGUAGUC